GACGAACGCUGGCGGCGCGCCUAACACAUGCAAGUCGAACGAGCGAGAGAGAGCUUGCUUUCUUGCGCGAGUGGCGAACGGGUGAGUAACGCGUGAGGAACCUGCCUCAAAGAGGGGGACAACAGUUGGAAACGACUGCUAAUACCGCAUAAGCCCACGGUGUCGCAUGGCACAGAGGGAAAAGGAGCAAUCCGCUUUGAGAUGGCCUCGCGUCCGAUUUGCUAGUUGGUGAGGUAACGGCCCAACAAGGCGACGAUCGGUAGCCGGACGGAGAGGUUGAACGGCCACAUUGGGACUGAGACACGGCCCAGACUCCUACGGGAGGCAGCAGUGGGGAAUAUUGCACAAUGGGGGAAACCCUGAUGCAGCGACGCCGCGUGGAGGAAGAAGGUCUUCGGAUUGUAAACUCCUGUUGUUGGGGAAGAUAAUGACGGUACCCAACAAGGAAGUGACGGCUAACUACGUG
rnacentral:rRNA from 1 species